rnacentral:rRNA from 1 species
UACGGAGGGUGCGAGCGUUGUCCGGAAUCGUUGGGCGUAAAGGGUGCGUAGGCGGCGCGGUAAGUCGGGUGUGAAAUCUCGGGGCUUAACUCCGAAACUGCAUUCGAUACUGCCGUGCUUGAGGACUGGAGAGGAGACUGGAAUUUACGGUGUAGCGGUGAAAUGCGUAGAUAUUGUAAGGAAGACCAGUGGCGAAGGCGGGUCUCUGGACAGUUCCUGACGCUGAGGCACGAAGGCCAGGGGAGCAAACGGG